AACGUGCAGCCAGGGGUGCUGGUGCCGGAGGCGCUGGGGCUGGGCAACUGGGUGAAGGCGCAGGAGUGGGCGGCGCUCCCAGACGGGCAGGCGACGUACCUGGGCAACCCGGUGCCGUGGGGCAACCUGCCGACCAUCCUGGCGAUCGAGUUCCUGGCCAUCGCCUUCGCGGAGCAGCAGCGCACCAUGGAGAAGGACCCGGAGAAGAAGAAGUACCCCGGCGGCGCCUUCGACCCGCUCGGCUUCUCCAAGGACCCCGCCAAGUUCGAGGAGCUCAAGCUCAAGGAGAUCAAGAACGGUACGUCCCAGUCCCAUCACAUAUACCCCGUUAUCGAAUGAAGAAUCAUACGUAGAUAGAACAAGCUGACGCGUUCGUCCGUGGGGAAUGCAUUGCAGGGCGGCUGGCGAUGCUGGCGUUCGUGGGGUUCUGCGUGCAGCAGUCGGCGUACCCCGGCACCGGCCCGCUGGAGAACCUGGCCACGCACCUCGCGGACCCGUGGCACAACAACAUCGGCGACAUCGUCAUCCCCAGAAAUAUCUACGGCCCUUGAGCGGAGCCGACCGGGCUGAGAGGAGAUCGAGGAGCCGGAGCGCAUGGUUUUCAUUCAUGUUUCUGAGUCGAUCCAUUGGUUGAUCACCUUGCCACGCUGGCUCUGCGCGCGCACCGUCCGUGCGUGCUGGAACUGUACAACAACGUCGGCUCUCCGGCCGGCAACCUUUGUAAUGUGUAAAG
rnacentral:lncRNA from 1 species